rnacentral:lncRNA from 1 species
AUGAUAAAGUUGGAUGCCCAAGUCGGCGGAUCCUCUGGAUUAAGGGUGGUGCUGCUGAACGCCAGGUCUAUCAACGGAAAAUCGGCUAUUAUCCAGGAUUUGAUCCUGGAUGAAAAAGCAGACCUGGCGUGCAUAACGGAGACCUGGUUGGACGAAGCAGGGGGGGUUAAUCUCACCCAGCUCUGUCCUCCCGGGUACUCCGUGCAGCACCAGCCAAGAUCUGGAGGACGGGGAGGUGGGGUCGCAGUGGUCUAUAAGGAGUCCAUCCCCCUGACCAGGUGCCCUAUCCCACAGUCAACCUCGUUCGAAUGUCUCUACCUGAGAGUGGGUAUCCGGGACAGGUUAGGGAUUCUGUUAGUGUACCGUCCACCCCGCUGCACUACAGUCUCCCUGCCUGAGCUAGCGGGGGUGGUCUUGGGCCUGGCGUUGGAGUCCCAGCGCCUUUUGGUGCUGGGUGACUUCAAUGUCCAUGCGGAGGCCACCCUUUCAGGAGCAGCUCAGGACUUCAUGGCCACCAUGGCAGCCAUGGGGCUGUCCCAAGUGGUAUCUGGCCCCACACACAGUGCAGGACAUACCUUGGACUUGGUUUUCUGUCAGGGAUGGGAAGAUGAUGGAGGUGUGGAGGAGCUGACCAUCGCUCCCUUGCCAUGGACCGACCAUUACCUGCUCAGGUUUAGACUGGCUGCGCCCCCCAACCUCUGCAGGGGUGGAGGACCUAUUAAAAUGGUCCGCCCCAGGAGGCUUAUGGAUCCUGAUGGAUUCCUGACGGCUCUUGGGGAGUUUCCCGCCACUUUGGCUGGCGAUUCUGCCGAUGCCCUGGUUUCUCUCUGGAAUAGGGAGUUAACCAGGGCAAUUGACACAAUCGCUCCAGAACACCCCCUCUCAAGUAGCGGAGCUCAACCAUCUCCUUGGUUCACUGAGGAGUUGGCAGCGAUGAAGCGAAAGAAGAGGGGUCUAGAGCGCGUGUGGCGUUCGAAGUGGAACGAAUCAGACCGAACACGGCUGUGCCUCUUUCUGAAGGCGUAUGCCACGGCAAUAGAUGCUGCAAAGAACGCCUUCUUUGUAACUAAUAUUGCGUCCGCGAAGAACCGUCCGGCAGAGCUGUUUCGAGUUGUCAGAGGUUUGUUAAAUCCCACCACUCAAGAUGGGAUCCCUGGCAGCUCGCUGUGA